rnacentral:misc_RNA from 1 species
GUGAAUCAUCGAAUUUUUGAACGCAAAUUGCACUCUCCUCGGAGAGUAUGCCUGUUUGAGGGUCAGCCUAUAAAAAAUCACCAUCGUGGCGGUUUCGCGGGGGCUUUCUUCGAAAUUUGGGUAUUCUUAAAUCUUUUGAUUUUAAGCGACUUAAAAUUUUCUUUUUUUUUCCAUACAUUUUUCUAAUAUUUAUUUCUUUACACUUUUGAGAUAGCUUUUUUUAUUAUACGUCACCAUCAUAUCAGA